CCCUGAGCCAAAGGCAGAUGCUCAACCGCUGAGCCACUUAGAAGUCCCUGCCUCCUAACAGUGAUUCAUUCCAUGGCUCAACAUUCAAUAUGACCAAAAUGCACACAGUGGCUCCACUCUCUCCAUGCCUCCUGCUGCUGCCCCCAGAAGACCAGGAUCCCCCGUGGGGCUCACAUGGGCAUCUCAGGAGCCAGCUGCCUCCUCCUUCCACUUGCCCCAUACUCCAGCUGUGGGAGGCCCUGGCCGCCGCUGUACCCAAGUGGACCUGCCUUGCACCUGCUUUUUCUUCUAGUGGAGCACAGUCCCUCCUCUGCCUGGACUGUGCCUGAGCAUACCCCUGGUCUUAGAGGACAUGUCUUUAGGAGGCCUCUGUGGCCCCAUUGGUGGAGUCAGCUGCCCUCCUCCACAGGCUUCCCCUAGUAUGGGCCUGGCCUCUCUGUGCUGUCACACAGUGUGGCUGUCUCUCGCUCAUCGGAUGCAAGGCUUCUGGAGGGAAGCAGCCUAUGUGUCUCUUCCCAGCUGCUGUCUGGGCCCAGGGCUGUAACACAAACCACUACAGUAUAUUUAUUUAUUUUUUAAAAGAUUUUUAUUUAUUUUUAUUCAUGAGAGACACACAGAGAGAGGCAGAGA